CCUACGGGAGGCAGCAGUGGGGAAUCUUCCGCAAUGGACGAAAGUCUGACGGAGCAACGCCGCGUGAGUGAUGAAGGAUUUCGGUCUGUAAAGCUCUGUUGUUUAUGACGAACGUGCAGUGUGUGAACAAUGCAUUGCAAUGACGGUAGUAAACGAGGAAGCCACGGCUAACUACGUGCCAGCAGCCGCGGUAAUACGUAGGUGGCGAGCGUUGUCCGGAAUUAUUGGGCGUAAAGAGCAUGUAGGCGGCUUAAUAAGUCGAGCGUGAAAAUGCGGGGCUCAACCCCGUAUGGCGCUGGAAACUGUUAGGCUUGAGUGCAGGAGAGGAAAGGGGAAUUCCCAGUGUAGCGGUGAAAUGCGUAGAUAUUGGGAGGAACACCAGUGGCGAAGGCGCCUUUCUGGACUGUGUCUGACGCUGAGAUGCGAAAGCCAGGGUAGCG
rnacentral:rRNA from 1 species